CCUACGGGGGGCAGCAGUGGGGAAUAUUGGACAAUGGGCGAAAGCCUGAUCCAGCCAUGCCGCGUGUGUGAAGAAGGCCUUCGGGUUGUAAAGCACUUUCAGUGGGGAAGAAAGCCUUGGGGCUAAUACCCUCGAGGAAGGACAUCACCCACAGAAGAAGCACCGGCUAACUCCGUGCCAGCAGCCGCGGUAAUACGGAGGGUGCGAGCGUUAAUCGGAAUUACUGGGCGUAAAGCGCGCGUAGGCGGUCUGAUAAGCCGGUUGUGAAAGCCCCGGGCUCAACCUGGGAACGGCAUCCGGAACUGUCGGGCUAGAGUGCAGGAGAGGAAGGUAGAAUUCCCGGUGUAGCGGUGAAAUGCGUAGAGAUCGGGAGGAAUACCAGUGGCGAAGGCGGCCUUCUGGACUGACACUGACGCUGAGGUGCGAAAGCGUGGGUAGCAAACAGGAUUAGAUACCCGAGUAGUC
rnacentral:rRNA from 1 species